GGGGUAGUAGUUCAGAUGGUAGAACGCUUGCUUUGCACGCAAGAGGUCAGGAGUUCAAGUCUCCUCUACUCCACCA
rnacentral:tRNA from 1 species